GUAGCUGAGGAGCUGUUAGUUUCUUUACCAGAAUAACUACUAACAAACUAACUACUAUCUUAACUUUCAACUGACUAUCUUUGAUAUAUUCUAACAUAAAACUCUUUCCGAUAAUAAUUACAUCUAGCUUUGAUACCACCGUCAUCAUUGUUGAACUUAGUAAAAUGAUUUAACACCUUUAAUCUCCCAGUAGUUCGCCUUCAUUUUGCUCUAGCUUUGGUCCCUUUGGAGCUGACAACAGCAACUUUAGGAUAUGUUCCAUCAUGUGUGACUUCUUGAAAAUGAGGAGCUAGCUUUGUACAUCAUUAAUAGGGCUACCAUGACUUUCAUUCAUUUCACUUGACAUCUUCAACAAAAAAAAGUUCAAUUAAUUCAUUUUUUAAGAUGGAAUAAGAAAGACAAGUUAUAUAAUUUUAGAUUAAAGAAUGAAAUUAAAUUAAUAUUUUAUUUGAUGGCAUUCCAAAAUAUAACUAUAUUACACAAAAUGAAAUUAAGAUAAUCUAAAAAAUACACAUUUUCCUGCAUUUUCUCAGCACCCAAACAAAACAGCAGAACCACCACCCAAUAGAAAACAUGAAUGUUAAAUCAUUACCAAACAUUACAAAGAAAAACAAUUGUGGCUUGUAAUAAAAAUCAAAGAUGAUAUGAAGAACAUGGUAACAACAGAUCUUCUUCAUACAAAAAAAAAAAUUAAACCACUUCAUUUCAGCUUAUGAAACAAGUGUGUUAAUCAUCAUAACACCAGUUAUUAGUUCAACAAUAAAAAGAAAGAUCAAAAUGAAACUAAAUUUAAAGACCAACAUAGAAACAAGAAAUACCAAAAUACAAAAUUCACAUGUAUUAACUUUAAAACCCAAGUUUUCAAAAGGUCAGUUCUCAAAAGGCAAGAAUACAGCUACCAAAGUCUCAAAGAUCUCAUCACUAUUCUAUCACAUAAAAGAAGAAGAAGAAGAAGAAGAAGAAGAAGAAGAAAUAUAUAUAUAUAUAUUUAUUUAUUUAUUUAAAAAAAAGUAACCCACAUGAAAAUCAAAGUGUCGUUAGUUGAUUAAUUUUAUUUUCUAUUUAAAAAAAAAAAGAACUUUGAUUACCACUAAUAUAACACAUUAUUACUAUCCAAUCAAACAAAAAAUAAAAUAAAACAAGGAGCAAAAAUUAAAUUUUUAC
rnacentral:lncRNA from 1 species